rnacentral:tRNA from 1 species
AGGCUCAUGGCGAAGUGGCUAUCGCGUCCGUCUCACAGGUGAAUCACUUCUGAACACGGAAGGUCCUGGGUUCGAUCCCCAGUGGGCCUA